rnacentral:rRNA from 1 species
UACGGAGGGAGCUAGCGUUGUUCGGAAUUACUGGGCGUAAAGCGCGCGUAGGCGGCUUUGUAAGUUAGAGGUGAAAGCCCGGAGCUCAACUCCGGAACUGCCUUUAAAACUGCAUCGCUUGAAUCCAGGAGAGGUGAGUGGAAUUCCGAGUGUAGAGGUGAAAUUCGUAGAUAUUCGGAAGAACACCAGUGGCGAAGGACGGCUGCACUGGACUGGU